CCCACCUUCCUUUACUUCUCCUUAAGCUACUCAUUUACAUUUUUCUCUCCCCCCUUUAACCUUGCCGUCCAAUACACCUAGACAAACAAAAGUAACUUUUAUUUUAUUCUUUUUCUCUCUCCUAUCUUUUCUCUCCUCAUCCCCUUUUACACUACCUUUAACCACCAUUAUUUUUUAUUUUGGCCUCCACUCCUCCACUCCUCCACCGUUAACCACCAUCAUCCAACCUAAACACCACCACUUCAUCUCUGCCCAUCCUCCUCCCACUCUCUUUUCCACUGCCGGACCUCUUCUACUGCCAUUGUAUCACAGCAUCACCACUGUUGUUAGCCACUGUUUUUUCUCUAUUUUCCAUUUUUCUCUUCAACUCUCUAGUCAUAACCAAAUUUCUAUCCCUCUUUUCUUAAUUUUUCUUAAACUAUUAAUAAAAGCUUAUACUCAUUCUUCUAUUUUGAUAUUGAUUAUUCCUUAACCUCUACUCCUUCAUCAAAUUGAGACUCUGGUAAAUCAUUGAUCUUUCUAACCCAACUGUAUUAACGUAAGUAUUGAUUGGUAAAGCUAUUAUCAAUCCAUUUUUUUUCUUAUAGUAUCCAAUUUUAGGGACUAAUAUUACAUGAUUUUAUUGAAGGACUUAAUUUGGACCAUUCGGAUCCCCUUUACCUAUAGUGAAUCAAUUGGAUUGUCUUGAAGAAAGGUAAUUUGAGUGAAUUCCUUAUUCGAUUCUUAAGAAUAAAUAAAUUGGUUCAAGGUUGAAACUAAUGUACGAUUCCUUGGUAUCAUACCAUUGUUGUUUAACCAGAUCAGGCGAGAUCUGCCUAGUUUUGUUAUCACUGAAGUUUGGAGCAUAGAUCUAGUGUCAAGCCAAAUCGUCAAGUGUGGGUUUAACCAAAUAAAGUUUGAUUAAUAAUUUAUUAAAUGAUUACUUAUUUAUAAAUAUUAUAUAUUAUAACAUACACUGAAAUGUGAUUAAUUAUGAACUAUGAGUAUACAUGGUGAUAGACAAAUUCCUUAAAUGGCUUAUUACCAUGUAAGUAAUUAUGAUCCAUUAAACCCAU
rnacentral:lncRNA from 1 species